ACACAUGCAAGUCGAGCGGAUGACAGGAACUUGCUCCUGAAUUCAGCGGCGGACGGGUGAGUAAUGCCUAGGAAUCUGCCUGGUAGUGGGGGACAACGUUUCGAAAGGAACGCUAAUACCGCAUACGUCCUACGGGAGAAAGCAGGGGACCUUCGGGCCUUGCGCUAUCAGAUGAGCCUAGGUCGGAUUAGCUAGUUGGUGAGGUAAUGGCUCACCAAGGCGACGAUCCGUAACUGGUCUGAGAGGAUGAUCAGUCACACUGGAACUGAGACACGGUCCAGACUCCUACGGGAGGCAGCAGUGGGGAAUAUUGGACAAUGGGCGAAAGCCUGAUCCAGCCAUGCCGCGUGUGUGAAGAAGGUCUUCGGAUUGUAAAGCACUUUAAGUUGGGAGGAAGGGUUGUAGAUUAAUACUCUGCGAUUUUGACGUUACCGACGGAAUAGGGCAGCGGCUAACUCUGUGCCAGCAGCCGCGGUAAU
rnacentral:rRNA from 1 species